CGAAUGUCUCUUUCGGGUUUGAGCCUCGUCGCCUCUCUUGUCAGAUAAUGGCCUGGAAAUUCUUCGUCGGCGGCGACUGGAACUUCUCCGGCCUGUGGAUCUUCGUCGUCUAUGCUCACGUCUUGCUAGGAUCCGUCUUGAUGUUAACUAUCCAUCUGCAGGAUUAAUGGGACCAGCGAGGAGGUGAAGAAAAUUGUCAGCACUUUGAACGACCGCAAAGUUGCAUCAGCUGAUGUUGUUGCUCUUGCUGGUUGAUUGGUGAGCUCUUGGAUGACUGGUUCUUAACAAAUAACCUUGUCCGGUUCAGUGUGAAGGCUAGUUUUGUGUUUUUUGGAUGGUGGCAUUUUAAAAGUCAUUAUAAUUCCUUUACAUUGAGUUAUUGAAAUCUGAUUUUAAACUUCCAAUGAGAUUGGAUUGUCGAGCUGAAAUAGUUCCGUAUUUGUUCGUGUUUUUGAACCCAAUGCUUAGCAACUUCGCCCUGAUGUUUUCUGUGAGUUAGUAAUCGAAACGAAUGAUGUAUAGCAUCUUGCAAUUCUGAGACUAUAUCUUCUGUAUUCAAACCUUCAGUUCUGUGUAAUCGUUGGUAUUAGUCCUUCAAGUGGGUUGCUUUUCACAUUACUGUUACUUUCAUCUUGGAAAGAUUCCUUAGAAUUUAAUGAGUGAAAUAUAUUGUGCAGGCCUGCAAUAGAUAUUGUGCGUGUUCUUUUAACUGAGCUUGCUGUUGAUAUACAACCUUUAUAAACCCAUAUA